GCUCUGGGCCGAAGUGGUCACGGUUACUUCUCCAACCUCAAUGGGCGGAAGCGGUGCAAGCCGUUCCGGGUUCGAUUCCCGGCAUGAAGUGGCCCGUCCGUGACCCGAACCCUUGUCCAGAGCACU
rnacentral:Y_RNA from 14 species